rnacentral:rRNA from 1 species
AGCUGAGGCCGAAAGGCGUAGGUGAUGGACAACAGGUUGAUAUUCCUGUACUACCGAUAACCGUUUGAGAGAAGGGAUGACACAGUAGGAUAAGCUAAGCACACUGUUGGUUAUGUGUGCCCAAGCAUUGAGGCAGUCAAAGUAGGCAAAUCCGCUUUGAUAAUGCUGGGAUGUGAUGGGGAGCGAAAUUUAGUAGCGAAGUAGCUGAUUUCACACUGUCAAGAAAAGUCUCUAUCGAGGUUAAAGGUACCCGUACCGCAAACCGACACAGGUGGGUGAGGAGAGUAUCCUAAGGCCAGCGAGAGAACUGUUGUUAAGGAACUCGGCAAAAUGACCCCGUAACUUAGGGAUAAGGGGUGCCACCAUCAGGUGGCCGCAGAGAAUAGGCCCAAGCGACUGUUUACCAAAAACAUAGGUUUCUGCUAAGUCGCAAGACGAUGUAUAGGAGCUGACGCCUGCCCGGUGCUGGAAGGUUAAGGGGAUCUGUUAGAGCAAUCGAAGCAGUGAACUUAAGCCCCAGUAAACGGCGGCCGUAACUAUAACGGUCCUAAGGUAGCGAAAUUCCUUGUCGGGUAAGUUCCGACCCGCACGAAAGGCGUAACGAUUUGGGCACUGUCUCAACAACAGACUCGGUGAAAUUGUAAUUCCGGUGAAGAUGCCGGAUACCUGCGACAGGACGGAAAGACCCCAUGGAGCUUUACUGUAGCUUGACAUUGGGUCUUGGUACUACAUGUACAGGAUAGGUGGGAGGCUUUGAAACCAGGACGCCAGUUUUGGCGGAGCCAUCCUUGGGAUACCACCCUUGUAGUACUGGGACUCUAACCAUAGGCCAUGAAUCUGGUCUUGGGACACUGUCAGGUGGGCAGUUUGACUGGGGCGGUCGCCUCCCAAAAGGUAACGGAGGCGCUCAAAGGUUCUCUCAGUACGGUCGGAAAUCGUACGUAGAGUGUAAAGGCAAAAGAGAGCUUGAUUGCAAGACAUACAGGUCGAGCAAGGAUGAAAAUCGGACUUAGUGAUCCGGUGGUUCUGCGUGGAAGGGCCAUCGCUCAACGGAUAAAAGCUACCCUGGGGAUAACAGGCUUAUCUCCCCCAAGAGUCCACAUCGACGGGGAGGUUUGGCACCUCGAUGUCGGCUCAUCACAUCCUGGGGCUGUAGUAGGUCCCAAGGGUUGGGCUGUUCGCCCAUUAAAGUGGUACGCGAGCUGGGUUCAGAACGUCGUGAGACAGUUCGGUCCCUAUCCGUCGCAGGCGUAGGAAAUUUGAGAAGACCUGUCCUUAGUACGAGAGGACCGGGAUGGACGUACCUCUGGUGUACCAGUUGUCCUGCCAAGGGCAUGGCUGGGUAGCUAUGUACGGAAUGGAUAAGCGCUGAAAGCAUCUAAGCGCGAAGCCAACUUCAAGAUAAGAUUUCCCACCGCAAGGGUAAGACCCCAGAAAGACUAUCUGGUUGAUAGGUCGAAGGUGUAAGUGCAGCAAUGUAUUUAGCUUAUCGAUACUAAUAGGUCGAGGACUUGACCAAU